rnacentral:rRNA from 1 species
UCCUACGGGAGGCAGCAGUAGGGAAUCUUCCGCAAUGGACGAAAGUCUGACGGAGCAACGCCGCGUGAGUGAUGAAGGCUUUCGGGUCGUAAAACUCUGUUGUUAGGGAAGAACAAGUGCUAGUUGAAUAAGCUGGCACCUUGACGGUACCUAACCAGAAAGCCACGGCUAACUACGUGCCAGCAGCCGCGGUAAUACGUAGGUGGCAAGCGUUAUCCGGAGUUAUUGGGCGUAAAGCGCGCGCAGGUGGUUUCUUAAGUCUGAUGUGAAAGCCCACGGCUCAACCGUGGAGGGUCAUUGGAAACUGGGAGACUUGAGUGCAGAAGAGGAAAGUGGAAUUCCAUGUGUAGCGGUGAAAUGCGUAGAGAUAUGGAGGAACACCAGUGGCGAAGGCGACUUUCUGGUCUGUAACUGACACUGAGGCGCGAAAGCGUGGGGAGCAAACAGGAUUAGAUACCCUGGUAGUCCACGCCGUAAACGAUGAGUGCUAAGUGUUAGAGGGUUUCCGCCCUUUAGUGCUGAAGUUAACGCAUUAAGCACUCCGCCUGGGGAGUACGGCCGCAAGGCUGAAACUCAAAGG